rnacentral:lncRNA from 1 species
AGCUGACGCCGGAACCGGGCCGCGGCGCCCAGCUGACGCCGGAACCGGGCCGCGGCGUCGAAAAGGUUGGGGAUCCCUGCUUUAUCUGACAAACCAUGAUUCAUCAUUUUAUUAUCUUUACCCAAAACAGUUAGGGUAAAACAAUGUUAUCCCUAACAACCAUGAUGAAGUCUAUGAUUUACCUGUUCUCCUUCUCUUCCAGCUGAUUGGAGAAAGAGCCCGAGCUGGAGCUAUGCUCAUUGUCUUCCUUUUCUCAGCCUUUUUCCAUGAAUAUAUACUCACCUUGUCUUUUGGCUUCUUCUAUCCUGUCACAUUUGUUCUGUUUGCUGGGACUGGAGGUAAGUAGCUCCUCAGGAAAUGGACUGAACCUUUUCUCAGAAGAGUCAAGCAAGGCCCGUAAAACAUAAUGUGGCAUGGAUUAUUCCUGUGUUCUUUAACUUUGUUUUCAAUGAUAAGAGAAAAGGCCCUGUCUGGAACAUCAUCAUAUGGAUAUGCCUCUCUUUGGGCCAAGCGAUCGUUUUCUCGUUAUACAGCCAAGAGUGGUUUGCACAUGUCCACUGUCCACUCAAGGAGACCUUCUGGGAGCUAGUGACUCCACGUUCCUGGUAUUGCCACCCAUAAGCAACUAUUUCCAGCCUACCCUAGCCUUCUACUUUGCUUCAAAAAGGACGUCUCACAAGGAUAUCUCAUUACUCUGCUGCUGCAACAACAAGGACUCUCAGCACAUCAUGCGUCUCCUCCACUCCCUCCAUGGAAAGCUGUAUUUGGAAAUUCCUUAUCCGAGGGUGCUAAAAUUUGGUUUGUCGGUUCAAAGGCUCUAUCUGGUUGAGACAGAAUAUCUACAAAGAUCCCUGUGUGGAGUUCAUGGUGCUCAAAUUCCAGGGGAAAAUUUAUCAGUGACAAUCUUUGGCUGCCUCCAAGACUUACAAAAUUAUCUCCCUUUCUUAACCUACUUAAAAUAAAACAUGAGUGCUCCACCUUGAAAUGUAGAUUAUACCACAUCCCAGCUUUAACCCAAACUCUGUUGCUUUUAGAUCAACAGGAAACUUUCCAGAUAUUGGUAAAAUCCAGCUCUCAGCAGAUUGUAUUGAUGGGAAAUAGAGUUCAAUAAUAUCAGAAGUAUUGCUUAUAUUUCCUACUUUUAGACUUUCAUUCAACAUUUCAUCUCCAGCAGUGAAGGAAGGGAACCUGAAUUACCACCAGCAAUAUCCAUUCAAUGCCUAUUGUAUUGUGUGAAUGAUUUUUGAAACUAUAUUUGGAAAUAAAAACAGAUUAUGCCAAAUCA